rnacentral:rRNA from 1 species
CAGUCGCCACGGUAAUACGUAGGUGGCAAGCGUUGUCCGGAAUUAUUGGGCGUAAAGGGCUCGCAGGCGGUUUCUUAAGUCUGAUGUGAAAGCCCCCGGCUCAACCGGGGAGGGUCAUUGGAAACUGGGAAACUUGAGCGCAGAAGAGGAGAGUGGAAUUCCACGUGUAGCGGUGAAAUGCGUAGAGAUGUGGAGGAACACCAGUGGCGAAGGCGACUCUCUGGUCUGUAACUGACGCUGAGGAGCGAAAGCGUGGGGAGCGAACAGGAUUAGAUACCCCUGUAGUCCCUGUCUCUUAUAC